AAGUCGUAACAAGGUUUCCGUAGGUGAACCUGCGGAAGGAUCAUUACUGAACUGUCGACACGAGUUGUUGCUGGUCCUCGGUGGGACAUGUGCACACUCUGUUAACACAUCCACUCACACCUGUGCACCCUCUGUAGUUCUUAUGGUGUGGGGGACCCCGUCCUCCUGCCAUGGUUCUACGUAUUUACAUACACACUGUGAUAAAGUCCCAUGGAAUGUACACCGCGUUUAACGCAAUACAAUACAACUUUCAGCAACGGAUCUCUUGGCUCUC
rnacentral:misc_RNA from 1 species